rnacentral:rRNA from 1 species
GCUGGCGGCGUGCCUAACACAUGCAAGUCGUACGAGAAACACGUUCUUCGGGAUGUGGAGUAAGUGGCGAACGGGUGAGUAACACGUGGGUAACCCGCCCCCGGGUUGGGGAUAACUGGCCGAAAGGCCCGCUAAUACCGAAUAAGACCACGGGAGCCUCGGCUCCAGUGGCCAAAGUCGGCCUCUCGAUGAAGCCGGCGCCUGGGGAAGGGCCCGCGGACCAUUAGCUUGUUGGUAGGGUAAUGGCCUACCAAGGCUGAGAUGGUUAGCUGGUCUGAGAGGAUGAUCAGCCACACUGGAACUGAGACACGGUCCAGACUCCUACGGGAGGCAGCAGUGAGGAAUAUUGCGCAAUGGGGGAAACCCUGACGCAGCAACGCCGCGUGGGUGAAGAAGGCCCUCGGGUUGUAAAGCCCUGUCAGGUGGGAAGAAACCUCCGCAGACGAAUACUCUGUGGAUCUGACUGUACCACCAGAGGAAGCACCGGCUAACUCCGUGCCACCAGCCGCGGUAAGACGGACGGUGCAAGCGUUGUUCGGAAUCACUGGGCGUAAAGCGCGUGCAGGCGGCUCGGUAAGUCGGAUGUGAAAGCCCGGAGCUCAACUUCGGAAGUGCAUUCGAAACUGU